rnacentral:misc_RNA from 1 species
AGCAGCCGCGGUAAUUCCAGCUCCAAUAGCGUAUAUUAAAGUUGCUGCAGUUAAAAAGCUCGUAGUUGAAUUUCGGGACCAAUAUGUCGGUCGUGCCUCGGUACGUACUGGCAUCGUUGGUUUCUCCUUUCUGAAGAACCAUGAUGUCAUUUAUUUGGUGUCGUGGGGAAUCAGGACUGUUACUUUGAAAAAAAUUAGAGUGUUUAAAGCAGGCUCACGCUUGAAUACAUUAGCAUGGAAUAAUGAAAUAGGACGUUUGAUUCUAUUUUGUUGGUUUCUAGGAUCGACGUAAUGAUUAAUAGGGAUAGUUGGGGGCAUUAGUAUUCAAUUGUCAGAGGUGAAAUUCUUGGAUUUAUUGAAGACUAACUACUGCGAAAGCAUUUGCCAAGGAUGUUUUCAUUAAUCAAGAACGAAAGUUAGGGGAUCGAAGACGAUCAGAUACCGUCGUAGUCUUAACCAUAAACUAUGCCGACUAGGAAUCAGACGAUGUUAAUUUUUUUAAUGACUCG